GACGAACGCUGGCGGCGUGCCUAAUACAUGCAAGUCGAACGCAGUGGGGACGGGUGAGUAACCCGUGGGUAACCUCCCAUCAGAGGGGAGAACACUUGGCAACAGGUGCUAAACCGAUACUGAUGGAUGAUCCCGCGGUGCAUUAGCUAGUUGGUGAGGUAACGGCUCACCAAGGCCACGAUCCAUCGCCGGCCUGAGAGGGUGAUCGGCCACACUGGGACUGAGACACGGCCCAGACUCCUACGGGAGGCAGCAGUAGGGAAUCUUCGGCAAUGGACGAAAGCCUGAUCGAGCAACGCCGCGUGAGUGAAGAAGGUCUUCGGAGCGUAAAACUCUGUUGGUAGGGAAGCGGUAUCUAACCAGAAAGCACCGGCUAACUACGUGCCAGCAGCCGCGGUAAUAC
rnacentral:rRNA from 1 species